AAGCAGGUGGCGGUAUUGGAAGCCAGGGAGAGGGUCCACACGCUGGGCAACAUGACCCCAACAGAUACCUACCAGAUACGCAUCACAGCUGUCAAUCACAGAACCCUCGGACACCCCUCCCCCCCAGAAACACCAGCGGACCCUCCCUUCAGUGCGUAUCCUGCUGUGAUUGGAGCUGCCAUUGGAGGGAUGCUCAUCACUACCAUAGCAACCAUUCUGCUUUUCAUGUACAUAAUCCGCAACCGCAACAACAACCCCCGACUCCAUGACAUGCUGUUUGGAAUGCAGCACAGCCGGUCCAGGGAGAACAUCAACCUGCCUGAUGAUGAGGUGAUGGGAGGAGUUGACAGAGAGGGAGGAGCUACAGAACAUUGC
rnacentral:lncRNA from 1 species